GGCUUCUGUGGUGUAGUGGUAUUACGAGCCGCUUCGACUGAGUGAGACGUAGGUUCAACUCCUGUCUGAGUUCG